AGCGAACGCUGGCGGCAGGCUUAACACAUGCAAGUCGAGCGGGCAUCCUUGUGGUGUCAGCGGCAGACGGGUGAGUAACGCGUGGGAACGUGCCCUUCGGUUCGGAAUAACUCAGGGAAACUUGAGCUAAUACCGGAUAAGUGCGAGAGCAGAAAGGUUUAUCUGCCGAAGGAUCGGCCCGCGUCUGAUUAGCUAGUUGGUGAGGUUACGGCUCACCAAGGCGACGAUCAGUAGCUGGUCUGAGAGGAUGAUCAGCCACACUGGGACUGAGACACGGCCCAGACUCCUACGGGAGGCAGCAGUGGGGAAUAUUGGACAAUGGGGGCAACCCUGAUCCAGCCAUGCCGCGUGAGUGAUGACGGCCUUAGGGUUGUAAAGCUCUUUUCUCCGGGACGAUAAUGACGGUACCGGAGGAAUAAGCCCCGGCUAACUUCGUG
rnacentral:rRNA from 1 species